UUCUUAUGCUACUAUGUGUUUAACAUGACCUAUGCAAAGGGAGCAGCUACAACACUUGAGUUCAUUCAGAGGCAAAUAUGUGAUAUUAAUCCCUGCAAAGGCAGCAAAUCCCAGGGCAAUGCCCGCCGUUUGGCUAUUCCUACAAAGGUAGUGAAGCUGGCACAGCGUCUUCGAAAGGAAUAACCUGAAUGGAACACCAGAUAGUGGCUGAUGUGUGCAAAAAAGAUUGAUUGUGUGUUAUGCUGUACCUGUGAUUAUUUAUUAAUCUGUUUAUGUGGGAGCUCCAGGCUGGUUGGUUAUGGCAGGGAAGUCCAUUAGGAUAGAUGUGAAUGGAGAUAAUUAUGUGGUGCUUUUCAGGUGCUAGUGGUGGCAGGCAUAAGGAUGCCUUGUAUAGACUUGCUGGUUAUUGUAUUCACUAGGCAAUGGGAAUGUAGAUUAGCAGUAAGGCUAGAGUUGGUCAAGAAAUCCGACCCAAGAUGGUUAGGCAUAGAAGGCCCGUUUGAAAAUUAUCCAACCUUAUUAUUUAUUUUAGAGAAGACCAUAUGGCACAGGUUUGCCACAUCGUGUGAUGUGUCUUUCAGUUGUGUUGGCUGUUGUACAGGAGCAGUUGUGUUGAGCAUUGUCUUGUCCCAGUGUGAUAUUGAGUGAAAUAAAAUGGCUGAGUGAAUUCAACAAAGGUACUAUGUGCAAUUUAUGUGCAAAGCUUGGUGA